rnacentral:lncRNA from 1 species
UUGCCUAUGCUCAUUGGGAAGUAAAAGCAGAAGAUCUCGCUUGAUGAAACUCCUUUCGAGAAUCAAUUUUUGUUUAGGCCACAAUAACCUAAACUGGUGGAAUGCUAACUGGCUAAUGAACCUAUCCUCCCAAGCUGCGGAAUCUCUAGUCUGGUCAACAUCCCCAACCUGAGGUACACCACUCUCGACACCUCCUCAUCAC